AAGCAUUGACACAGUGUGUUCUGAUAUACAGAUGACCUUUAUUCUAAUCUGGGUUUGGAAGCUUCAUCGGAAAGGCCUUUACGCUGGCGUUUAAGACGUGGUGUUCUUUAGAAAAAAAGCAAUUUCUCUUUUCUCCAGGGGAACUGCAGUUUAGGACAGGCACAAAGCUGGGAACACAACCAAGGGCAGAAAAAAAAAUUCACCUUCAUGUUCUAUUUGUCAAACUGACCUGCAGGUCAUAACCUGAAAGUUUAUGGAUCGGUGAGGCCUUGUCUCCGCAUAAGCGUGUGUUCUGGACUUUGGCUGGAGCUAAAUUCCUGACUUCUGAAAGCGGAGUGGGUGUGGACUUCCAGCAGGAAUAGCCAGUGGGAAGGAAGUAAUAUUCAUUAAGUGUGUCUCAUGCAAGCCGUGCGGGGCUAAGCAUGCUCAGUGUAAAUUCUCCUGUAGCCUGUCAAGCUAUGUUUGAACCCGGUCCAGAAUCCUGGAUUUACUUUUUUUUUUUUUCCACGAGGAAGAAUGCUCGAUUAGACUGCAUUUUGCCCUGCUUUUCUCUCUCUCUCUCUUCCCUUUCUUUCUUUCUCUUUCUUUUCUCUCUCUUUUCUUCCUGCCAGAGGAUUGGAAACAAUAUCUUUUUCCGAUCAGUUCAGUAAUACAAUAUCCUUCAGUGUUCACACGAGCAUUUCAGUGGAGAAGAAAAGAAACUUUGCUACCUGGGAACAGAAGACUACUUAGGUCUGCUAAUAAAGUCCUUAGGACUUCUGGAGCCAGAAGUUAAACUUUUCUCAACUGUUAAGUAGAGAUGUUGGUGUCGCACAUCCUGUUGGUCUCGUCUCUCUGGGACUGUGGCCCUCCAGGAAAAAUUCCCUUCUGAAGGGGAAGCAACAGCCUAGAGGACUUCUUAGAAAGGACCGAUGGACACUUGGUUCACCUUCACCUUUUGGCUGUCUUGAAACACUCUGCUAUAAGCAUGGAUGUACAAGCAUCUCUUCAGGACCCUGCUUUCAGCUCUCCUGGGCAUGUACCCAGAGUGAAACUGUGAAAUCAAACGGCAAUCCUAUUUUUAAGUGUUGGUGAAGGCGCCCCCACCCAUCUCCCACACUGGCUUCGGUCUGCAUUCCACCAACGGUGUGCAAGAGUUCUGCUUUCCCCACAUCUUUUCUAACACUUAAGCCUUCCAAUGUUUUGAUAGUAGCCACUCUAAAGGGUGUGAGCUAGUAGCUCCCUGUGCUUCUGAUUCGCAUUUCCCUGACAGUUAGUGAUGUUGAGCAUCUUUUCCUGUGCUUAUUGGCCAUUUGUGGGCCAUUUUUGGAGAAAUGCCUAUUCAAGCCCAUUGCCCUUUUCUGAAUCGAGUUCUUUGUUUUGUGAUUGAGCUGUUGAAGUUCUCAAUAUCUUCUGGAUCCCUUAUCAGAUACGUGAUUUGUAAAUAUUUUCCUCCGUUCAGUGGGUUGCCUUUUCACUCUGUUUAUCAUGUCAUUUAAUGCAUAGAAGUAUUGCAUUUUGAUAGAGUCCUAUUAAUUUGUUUUCUUUUUCUGUUUGGCUUUUUGUAUUAUAUCCAAGAAGUAAUUGCCAAAUCCUGUUUUGAAACUUUCCUCCUAUGUUUUCUUCUAAGAGUUUGAUAGUUUUCGGUCUUAUAUUUAGGUCUUCGAUACACUUUCUGUAGUGCUCGUUUUCACCCCCUCCUGUACAGUGAAUUUCUUAAGCACAGAGACUGUGGUUGUUCAUUUUUAUAUUCUUAGUGCUUAGGGUAUACUUGACACAUGAUAGGUGCUCAGUAAAUUAUAGCUGAAUGAAGCAACUUUAUCAGAUAUGAUGAGACUAAAUUAAGGCCUAUGUUUAUAGUGAUUUGCCAUUUUCAUAAUAAUAACAAUUAUGACAGACUGUCUUGGAGACCCAUAAGGAAAUCUCUGAAAUAAAAAUGUUAAACCGGUUUCGAAGGCUUUUUGGUAUUGUAUUUAUUUACUUUUCCUUGAGGAUGUCAAAUACUAUGCUUGAAUAUUUGUCACACUAAUUGUGUUCUCAUCACACUUGACCUCUAGUUCCUUUCUCAUGAGCUCUGUACAUGGUGAGCUCCAUCACAAUGAAACAAUUAGGCAAGCUGUUCUACCAUCUUUGGUGCAGUGGUAAAGAACCUGCCUGCCAAUGCAGGAGCCACAGGAGACAUGAGUUUGAUCCUUGGGUCAGGAAGAUCUCCUGGAAGAGGAAACGACAACCUAUUCUAGUAUUCUCACCUGGAGAAUCCCAUGUUUAGAGGAGCCUGGCUGGCUACAGUCCAUCGGGUCGAAAAGAGUCAGACAUGACUGAAUGACUGAGCGCACAUGUUCUGCCAUCCACGUGGGUCCCUAAAAUCCUGCGUCAGCCAGUGAAGGAGGUGGGCACUGGGUUGCUAAUUGGCCUCCGGAGACUUAUUCCCACACCCCUGUUUCUCCCUUAGUUUUCUCAUUUAUAAAAUGAGAGCUUGUGUAAGAUUCCUCCUGGUUUUAUUUAUUUAUUUGGCUCUUGGGUCUUGGUGAUAGCACGUGAAAUCUUCUCUGCGUCACGCGGGGUCUUUGAUUGCGGCCUGCAGGCUCUCUAGCUGUGGCGCGUGGGCUCAGGAGUUGUGGCGCGAGGGCUUAGUUGACCUAUGGCCUGUGGAUCCCUGGUUGGGGUUGGAAUGUGGGAUUGAACCCACAUCCCCUGCAUUGCAAGGAGUAUUCUUAACCACCACUCCUUCUAGUCCUAACAUGACGAUGAAAGCUUAGGUAUUGGCAGUGUGUGAUGCGUGCUGAGUUGCUUCAGUCGUGUCCAACUCUUUGUGACCCUAUGGGCUGUAACCUGCCAGGCUUCCCUCUCCGUGGGAUUCUCCAGAUGAGAAUACUGACAUGGAUUGCUGUGCCCUCCUCCACGGGAUCUUCCUGACACACGGAUCAAACCCCCAUCUCCUACCUUGGCAGGUGAGUUCUUUACCACUAGCGCCACCUGGGAAGCCCAGGUACUGGCGGCAGAACAUUUCAAAAAAGAGUCGAAAUUCAGCCACUUCUGGGAAGAAACAAAGACAAGAUUCACCACCAUCCAGCCUCUUCCUGAGCACCUUCCUGCCCAAGAAAUGACCUGAGGGUCAGGUAGAGAGGGCCACUGUGCCACCUUGGCAGUUAGCUUCCUGCUUGUGCCACCUGUGUAGGCAACAGGGGCAGAGGAUGAGUUGAAAACAAAAUUCCUAUUAUAGUUGUGUGGUCUGAAUCAAGGACAUCAUCUCUGCAACUCAGUAUUCCAGAGCCAGUUGUCUCAUGUUUAUAUCUGUGUGUGACACAGCCAGCUGAAAAGAUAUGAGAGCUCCUAUUUAUACCAUUGGCUAAAACUAUGAACGCCAUGCUACGUCCAAAAUGCCAUACAUCCUAUGUGUUUCCUGGCCAGUUUCCACCGAGUGAGGGGCAGUCACAACUACAGCGUCCUCGGUGAAUAUCCUGCAGGAGGCGGACUGUGUCACACUAAGAUCUCACUCCGAGGCUGCCUCUGCCAAGGCCAUCAUUGGACCUGUCUGAAUCUGGAUAUUGGGUCAUCUUCAUGGUGCCAAUCAAACAGCAAGGCCUAGCGAGGGCAUUGGGGAGAUCUGGGUUCUUGCCUCCACUAUUUGCAUCUGAACACUUUGAAAACGUGACUUACCCUCACUAGGAAUGGGUUUCCACAAGUGUGAAAAAGUAGAGAAAUAUUCUCUGCUGUUUUAUAUAGAGAAUUGGGUUGUUGAAAAAGGGAUGAAACUGGCUUUUACUGAGCACGUUCUAGGUGCUGGGUCCUGUGCUGUGUGUUUAUACAAAUAAUUCUGUUUACUGCUCAAAUGGUUCCAUGAAGUAGCCGCUGUUAGACUCCUCUUGCUGCUGCUAAGCUGCUAAGUUGCGUCAGUCGUGUCCAACUCUGUGCGACCCCAUAGAUGGCAGCCCACCAGGCUCCCCCGUCCCUGGGAUUCUCCAGGCAAGA